UGGGGAAUUUUGGACAAUGGGCGAAAGCCUGAUCCAGCAAUGCCGCGUGUGUGAAGAAGGCCUUCGGGUUGUAAAGCACUUUUGUCCGGAAAGAAAUGGCUCUGGUUAAUACCUGGGGUCGAUGACGGUACCGGAAGAAUAAGGACCGGCUAACUACGUGCCAGCAGCCGCGGUAAUACGUAGGGUCCAAGCGUUAAUCGGAAUUACUGGGCGUAAAGCGUGCGCAGGCGGUUGUGCAAGACCGAUGUGAAAUCCCGAGCUUAACUUGGGAAUUGCAUUGGUGACUGCACGGCUAGAGUGUGUCAGAGGGGGGUAGAAUUCCACGUGUAGCAGUGAAAUGCGUAGAGAUGUGGAGGAAUACCGAUGGCGAAGGCAGCCCCUGGGAUAACACUGACGCUCAUGCACGAAAGCGUGGGGAGCAAACAGGAUUAGAUACCCUGGUAGUCCACGCCCUAAAACGAUGUCAACUAGGUUGUUGGGGGAUUCAUUUUCCUUAGUAACGUAGCUAACGCGUGAAGUUGACCGCCUGGGGAGUACGGUCGCAAGAUUAAAAGCUCAAAUGAAUUGACGGGGUCAUAGCUGUUUUCC
rnacentral:rRNA from 1 species